GAAGAAGGCCUUCGGGUUGUAAACCGCUUUUGUCAGUGCAAGAAAUCCUUUGAGGCUAAUACCCUGGAGGGGAUGACGGUACCUAGAAGAAUAAGCACCAGGCUAACUACGUGCCAGCAGCCGCGGUAAUACGUACGGGUGCGAGCGUUAAUCCGGAAUUACUGGGCGUAAAGCGUGCGCAGGCGGUCAUACAAGACAGAUGUGAAAUCCCCGGGCUUAACCUGUGAACUGCAUUUGUGACUGUAUGGCUGGAGUACGGUACA
rnacentral:rRNA from 1 species